rnacentral:rRNA from 1 species
GACGAACGCUGGCGGCGUGCUUAACACAUGCAAGUCGAGCGGUAAGGCCCUUUCGGGGGUACACGAGCGGCGAACGGGUGAGUAACACGUGGGUGACCUGCCCUUAGCUCUGGGAUAAGCCUGGGAAGCUGGGUCUAAUACCGGAUAUGACUCCAUGACGCAUGUUGUGGGGUGGAAAGCCUUGUGCGGCUAGGGAUGGGCCCGCGGCCUAUCAGCUUGUUGGUGGGGUGANGGCCUACCAAGGCGACGGCGGGUAGCCGGCCUGAGAGGGCGACCGGCCACACUGGGACUGAGACACGGCCCAGACUCCUACGGGAGGCAGCAGUGGGGAAUCUUGCGCAAUGGGCGAAAGCCUGACGCAGCGACGCCGCGUGGGGAUGACGGCCU